ensembl:rRNA 5S_rRNA 5S ribosomal RNA
GCUUACGGCCAUACCACCUUAGGCACGCCCGAUCUCGUCUGAUAUCGGAAGCUAAGCAGGGUCGGGCCUGGUUAGUACUUGGAUGGGUGACCGCCUGGGAAUACCAGGUGCUGUAAGCA